AAGACCAUGAUUUUAAGGAUCAUUUCUUAAGUAUGUGUCGCAACGGUAUCCGAUUCUAUUGAGCGGAUCAACAACAUCACGAUGAUACGAGAUCGUAUUGGGUCCUGAGCGUGAAGCAGGAUUUUCUUAAUCGUUCGUUACUCCGCCUUCAACGAAUGUGAGAAAUCCAUUGAAGAUCGUUCUUGAGAGGUUUAACAACUUCUUAAAGAGGGACUCAAUACUUUCUGAGUGAU
rfam:Octopus bimaculoides Scaffold221259_contig_1, whole genome shotgun sequence.